rfam:Musca domestica strain aabys unplaced genomic scaffold Scaffold18640, whole genome shotgun sequence.
CCUUCGAUAGCUCAGUUGGUAGAGCGGUGGACUGUAGAGAACGUUGUGAGCGAUAAACAUAGACAUCCAUAGGUCGCUGGUUCAAAUCCGGCUCGAAGGA